rnacentral:rRNA from 1 species
GAUGAACGCUGGCGGCGUGCCUAAUACAUGCAAGUCGAGCGAACGGACGAGAAGCUUGCUUCUCUGAUGUUAGCGGCGGACGGGUGAGUAACACGUGGAUAACCUACCUAUAAGACUGGGAUAACUUCGGGAAACCGGAGCUAAUACCGGAUAAUAUUUUGAACCGCAUGGUUCAAAAGUGAAAGACGGUCUUGCUGUCACUUAUAGAUGGAUCCGCGCUGCAUUAGCUAGUUGGUAAGGUAACGGCUUACCAAGGCAACGAUGCAUAGCCGACCUGAGAGGGUGAUCGGCCACACUGGAACUGAGCCACGGUCCAGACUCCUACGGGAGGCAGCAGUAGUGAAUCUUCCGCAAUGGGCGAAAGCCUGACGGAGCAACGCCGCGUGAGUGAUGAAGGUCUUCGGAUCGUAAAACUCUGUUAUUAGGGAAGAACAUAUGUGUAAGUAACUGUGCACAUCUUGACGGUACCUAAUCAGAAAGCCACGGCUAACUACGUG